rnacentral:lncRNA from 1 species
UCCUUCUGUUAGCAAUCAGAGCAUAGCUGGACCAUCCCCAUCAGUUAAAUGGAAUUAUUUGCCUGUUAAAGAGGAAAAAGAUUUUCUAGACCUGGAUGAAAAAUUACGAAACACCUAUGAUGAACUUCCUUGCAUCGGUUGGAGGCGACGAUUACAAGCAACUUACCACGGCUAUCUUAAAACAACUAAUGGCUAAAAAAGUAUGCUUAUUAUACUCUAUGUAUGGCAAUAAACAAAAGAAAUUAUUUUCGUCUCUUACGUCCUGCAAGGUGGUUAUAGAUGCCAUAAAAAAAAAGUUUGAAAACGCUAAUGACAAAAGCAUUAAAGAAAGAAAGAAUCGGCAGCUUUCUGGCAACGGCCAUUGAUAGAGAAGGCAGAAGAAAGAAUAGAACCGCAAUUAAGCAAAGCCCACUA